GAUGAACGCUGGCGGCGUGCCUAAUACAUGCAAGUCGAGCGAACGGACGAGAAGCUUGCUUCUCGGAUGUUAGCGGCGGACGGGUGAGUAACACGUGGAUAACCUACCUAUAAGACGGGGAUAACUUCGGGAAACCGGAGCUAAUACCGGAUAAUAUUUUGAACCGCAUGGUUCAAAAGUGAAAGACGGUCGUGCGGUCACGUAUAGAGGGAUCCGCGCUGCAUGAGCGAGUUGGUAAGGUAACGGCUUACCAAGGCAAUGAUGCAUAGCCGACCCGAGAGGGUGCUCGGCCACACUGGAACUGAGACGCCGCCCAGACUCCUACGGGCGGCAGCAGUAGGGACUCUUCCGCACUGGGCGAAAGCCUGACGGAGCAACGCCGCGUGAGUGAUGCAGGUCUUCGGAUCGUAAAACUCUGUUCUUAGGGAAGAACAUAUGUGUAAGUAACUGUGCACAUCUUGACGGUACCUAAUCAGAAAGCCACGCCUACCUACGU
rnacentral:rRNA from 1 species